rnacentral:lncRNA from 1 species
UAUCAUGGGAGUAGGAUUCAUGAUUUUAUAAGAACAGGAAGAGAGACAUGAACACAUUAGAAUACUCAGCCUUCUUGCCAUGUAAUGUCCUGCACUGCCUCAGGGCUCUGCUGUGUCCCCAUGAGCAAAAAGGCUCUAACAAGUCUACAGCCACACCAGCCUAAACGCGCCCACUCUUAUCUGAUCUUGGAAGCUAAGUGAGGUUCGACCUGGUUAGUACUUGGAUGGGAGAAGGCUCUGACCAGAUGUGGCCCCUCAACCUUGGACUUCUCAGCCUCCGUAACUGGGUAUGAGGAAACACUGUUUACGCAUCAUGAAGAGUCUAGUCGCUUACCAACACACGUUAGUGCCAGCAGUGUCCACCUUUCAUCAUAACAACCAAAAAUGCCUCCCUUGUUCAAUUCAGAGAGACCAUAUUCCAGCAGAAACAGAAAUGCCUCAGAUUCUUAACGCUUUAGUGAAGUUGGAUCCACAUUUUGAUCAUUGCAAAUAUUAGAAACAACUUACAUGUUCAACAAGGAUGGACCUUUCUUCCCGUGGUUCUUUAACUUGAGUGUGCGUUAGAAUUGCCUACAGGGCUUGAUCACAGAUCUGCGGGCUCCACUCUCCAAGAAUUUCUGUUUCAGUAGGUCUGUUGUGAGGCUCAAGAAUGGGCAUUUCUAACCAUCCCCGUGAUGCUGAUCUGGGACCCACACUUUGAAAACAACUGCUCUACUCCAUAGGGGGAAAUGAAUGUGUCAGGAAAAAGGUGCUCUGUUUCUGAAGAAAGAGAAACAUGAAAGGUUAGACAAAGAAUAUAAAGGUAACUGAAAUCCUCGAAGUAAAAUAAAUUCCACCUCUUAACUAUACCUAUAAUCCUUUGUUUCACAGGCCAGCCUAAAUUUACCACUUUAUCUUAUAGAGUUGUCUGUGUGAAUCCGCUUUCUUAUGAUAUAGUGAGCUCCUUUAAACAUUGUGGCAUGCUUUAUUCAUCUUUAUGUCUGUCAUAGAUUAGAAGUAGUAAGUGUUCAAUAAACAUUUGUUGCGUUAAAAGUAUUAGAAAGGAAAUAGACUGUACACUUUAUUCUCGAUUGGUAGAAAUUUUAUGGUGUAAUCCUAAGGUAAGGUACACUAUUGAUUUCAAUGUUUGAAUUUUUUAUUUUAUUUUCUAUCUAAAACAAUUCACAUGUGUAAUGAAUUAAACAUCUGUCUUUUGUGAGGUGAUACUUAAAAAAUACUUAGAGACACUUAAAUAAGGAGCAUAAUGCUGUAGAAAUACCAUAUAUGGAAUCUAUUCAAUUUAACAAAACUUUAUAUUGAGCUUCUACCACAUGCCUGAUAGUAUACUCAAUGCUGGAAAUAUCUAAUAUAAUGAUGUUAAGAGCUUCAAUUUAUUGAUUAGUUAGCAUACAACAGGCAAUCUGCAAGGUGUUUACAGCAAAUUAUGCUUAUUUACUCAUCGCAAUACCUCUACGAAGUUGGCUUUAUUAGCAUCUCCAGAUUAAGGAAGAGGAAAUCAAAGCUUUAAAACAUUAAUUUAUUCUAAAUCACACAGCUAAGAAAUGACGGAACCAUGAUUCGGACCAACGUUGUCCGAAGCUAGAGUCUGCUUUCAACAGCUCUGCUGUAUUGACUCAUUCCGAAGACAGGGUUAGCCCUUAGGAAAGCCACAUGCAAAAGAGACCCAAUUACUUUCUACUGUUUAAACCUGAGCGAAACUAGGGUUACGUUUACCUAGGUCCAAAGUCCUAAUAGACCCCAAAGGGGAGCUCUUUUUUGGAUACAUGUCAGGAACAUGUUAAGGUACAACUUUUCAUUCAUCAAUUCAAUAAAUUUCUCUUGAAUAUUUGUUGUGUACAAUUACUGUGGUUCUAUGAAUUCAGUGGUGAGUAAGUAAAGAAUGCCCAAUAUCUAGUGGGUGACACAGAUAAUAAUCAAAUCCUCACACAAAUAACAUGUAAUUACAAACUGAAUUAAGGAUGAGGAGAGGAAAAUAAAGAGCACUAGGACAGCAUGCAGCAAGAGGACUUAAUUCAAUUUGUGGAGGGGGUGACCAGGGAAACCUUCCUGAGCAAGUGACAACCGAUCAAGACCGGUAAGACGGGCAGGAAAACGUGAGUGUGUGGAGUGGGUGGAGACAGUGAGCAGAUUCCCUGACAAACGGAAUAGUACGUGCAAAGGAAAAAGAGAUUACAGCACUGUAGUUAGAGAAAUCUAAAAAAAAAAAAAAACAAAGUUAGUGUAGUUGGAGUACAGAGAAUGAGCAGAUGAGAGGGAUAGUAAAAAAUACUGCCAACAUAGCAAAGGACAGACUAUGCAAAGCUUUGCACACCAUUUUAAGGCUAAAAUUAAUGUGAACCUUUUGAAGGAGAAAUCUAGCCAAGGCUAGAUUUAUAUUUAUUAAAUAUCACACUAUCUGUAGGCAGAACAGUCUGGUGGGUAGGGGGGUUACUGUGUUAAUUCCAAUGAGAGACGAUGGUAGCUUGCACUAGGAUACUAAUGGGCAUAAAGAAAAACUGUAGAGAUAUUGAGAAGGUUAAAUCAGUAGGACCAGGUGACAGAUUUAAUAAUGGUAGUUGACGGACAGUGAGGAAGAGUGAGGAAAAAAAAUCCAGACUUUUGGCUUGCUUAACUGGAUAGUGUCAUUCACUGGGAUGGAGGAACCUGGAUGUGUAUCGGGUUUGAAGGACAAGGUCGAACAUUCAGUUUGGUCCUUGUUGAGUCUGAGUUGCCUCUGAUACAUUUAAGUGGAGAUGUCAAUUAGGCAGGGGGGUAUGUAUAUAAGACUAGCAUUCAAAUGAGAGUUUCAGGGCUGGAGAUGUAAAUAUUAGAAGCUUUGCAGAAACAUUAGUUAGGUUAAAUCAGGAACAUAGAUAAGAUUACCUAGGGACAGAAGACAAAGUGAAGAAAUGAAAGGAGAUAUCAUUCCUUCUUUGGAACCUUGUGUAGUGAAUCAGAAUCAAACCCUGUUUAAUUUUAAAUUACAAAGCCAAUCUAACCACUCACUGUGUAGAUGAAGAGAACUGAAGUCCUGCGAGUUUUAUCCAUUUGCUAGAUUGUAAAAGUCAAGCUGGGGCAAGAACUCAGGUCUUCUGAGCUGCAGUUUAAUUCUCCACCUUUAUCGAUAUUUCUUAAAAUGUGGUCCUGGAACCAGCAGCAUCAGCAUCACUUAUACACUUAAAAAUGCAAAUAUUUAGGCCCCAUCCCAGAUCUACUGAAUCAGAAGCUCUAUGGCUAGGGCUCAGAUGCAUAUUCAGGUCAGAGGGCUCCUGCUCUAUUUUGUGUAAUCCCCUUCCUGAGUGUUAGCAAAGUGAUGGGUUCACACUUACGGGUAGAGAGGUAGCAGGAGGAAAGUGAAGCUGUUCUUGACUCUGUGCCAGAAGAGAUUACAGAAACUGACCCUCUCGAACUCAACAGAAGCUGUAGACCACAUUGGUACAUGUGUUUUAUAAACUACAAUCAUGCAUGCCGUUUCUGUGCUUUGCAAAAGAGACAGAUAGUGGUGCCAGGGGAAAGGACAUUAGCAGUCCAAGUUGAUUAGGUAAAAUGGUCUGACACAGUGAGGCAAAAGUUGAUUUGGUAAAAACUUGACAUAGACGGCACUUUCAACCAUCGGUAUCCACUUAAUAGAUGUAAACAGCUAUUUUCACGACACAAACACCCACACUUACAUCUUUAGAACAGUCUCAGCAAUUCUGUAUGCUUGCCAGAUAAAUCUCUGCUGCAAAUUAUCCUCCAGCCAUGAGAUUUAAAACCAAGAGUUUCUAGUGUUUUGUUCCUUUGAAAUAUGUAACCUUAACCAGAUGUUUAUACCCUGGGUCACAAAAAUCUAAUUGAAUAGUUCACUUGAUGUGUUCGCACAAUUAAGAAACUCUUCUUCCUUAAUAGGGGAAGAGGGGCAAAUUCAUAUGUUUAAUUUUCAAAAACACAGAGCGUUCUCUGCUCUACAACAGUCUAUCAGCUAGAAAUGUCUAUUAACUGUCUCUUCUCUACUUCAUGAGCACAAAGAUAAGUUGUGGUUUUAGGGACCCUUUGGGGGAUAUUAAGAGAUCUUGAGGUAAAUGCUAAACCAAACAGUUUAGUUUGUAUUCAGGACAGUAGACACGUUUUAUAUACUAUCAUCCUACUUUAACAUUAAUUAUAUUAAAAAAUUCUUCUUUUAACUGGGCUAUCUAAUUAAUAAGGCCAGCAACAUUCCU